GACGAGCGCUGGCGGCGUGCUUAACACAUGCAAGUCGUACGGUAAGGCCCUUUCGGGGGUACACGAGUGGCGCACGGGUGAGUAACACGUGAGUAACCUGCCCACAACUUUGGGAUAACGCUAGGAAACUGGUGCUAAUACUGGAUAUGUGCUCCUGCUGCAUGGUGGGGGUUGGAAAGCUCCGGCGGUUGUGGAUGGACUCGCGGCCUAUCAGCUUGUUGGUGGGGUAGUGGCCUACCAAGGCGGCGACGGGUAGCCGGCCUGAGAGGGUGACCGGCCACAUUGGGACUGAGAUACGGCCCAGACUCCUACGGGAGGCAGCAGUGGGGAAUAUUGCACAAUGGGCGCAAGCCUGAUGCAGCAACGCCGCGUGCGGGAUGACGGCCUUCGGGUUGUAAACCGCUUUCAGCAGGGACGAAGCUUUUUGUGACGGUACCUGCAGAAGAAGCACCGGCUAACUACGUG
rnacentral:rRNA from 1 species